GGUUAAGCGACUAAGCGUACACGGUGGAUGCCCUGGCAGUCAGAGGCGAUGAAGGGCGUGCUAAUCUGCGAUAAGCGCCGGUAAGGUGAUAUGAACCGUUAUAACCGGCGAUACCCGAAUGGGGAAACCCAGUGUGUUUCGACACACUAUCAUUAACUGAAUCCAUAGGUUAAUGAGGCGAACCGGGGGAACUGAAACAUCUAAGUACCCCGAGGAAAAGAAAUCAACCGAGAUUCCCCCAGUAGCGGCGAGCGAACGGGGAGGAGCCCAGAGCCUGAAUCAGCAUGUGUGUUAGUGGAAGCGUCUGGAAAGGCGCGCGAUACAGGGUGACAGCCCCGUACACAAAAGCGCAUGUGCUGUGAGCUCGAUGAGUAGGGCGGGACACGUGGUAUCCUGUCUGAAUAUGGGGGGACCAUCCUCCAAGGCUAAAUACUCCUGACUGACCGAUAGUGAACCAGUACCGUGAGGGAAAGGCGAAAAGAACCCCGGCGAGGGGAGUGAAAAAGAACCUGAAACCGUGUACGUACAAGCAGUGGGAGCACCCUUUGGGGUGUGACUGCGUACCUUUUGUAUAAUGGGUCAGCGACUUAUAUUCUGUAGCAAGGUUAACCGAAUAGGGGAGCCGGAGGGAAACCGAGUCUUAACCGGGCGUUAAGUUGCAGGGUAUAGACCCGAAACCCGGUGAUCUAGCCAUGGGCAGGUUGAAGGUUGGGUAACACUAACUGGAGGACCGAACCGACUAAUGUUGAAAAAUUAGCGGAUGACCUGUGGCUGGGGGUGAAAGGCCAAUCAAACCGGGAGAUAGCUGGUUCUCCCCGAAAGCUAUUUAGGUAGCGCCUCGUGAAUUCAUCUCCGGGGGUAGAGCACUGUUUCGGCUAGGGGGCCAUCCCGGCUUACCAACCCGAUGCAAACUGCGAAUACCGGAGAAUGUUAUCACGGGAGACACACGGCGGGUGCUAACGUCCGUCGUGAAGAGGGAAACAACCCAGACCGCCAGCUAAGGUCCCAAAGUCAUGGUUAAGUGGGAAACGAUGUGGGAAGGCCCAGACAGCCAGGAUGUUGGCUUAGAAGCAGCCAUCAUUUAAAGAAAGCGUAAUAGCUCACUGGUCGAGUCGGCCUGCGCGGAAGAUGUAACGGGGCUAAACCAUGCACCGAAGCUGCGGCAGCGACGCUGAUGCGUUGUUGGGUAGGGGAGCGUUCUGUAAGCCUGCGAAGGUGGCCUGUGAGGGUUGCUGGAGGUAUCAGAAGUGCGAAUGCUGACAUAAGUAACGAUAAAGCGGGUGAAAAGCCCGCUCGCCGGAAGACCAAGGGUUCCUGUCCAACGUUAAUCGGGGCAGGGUGAGUCGACCCCUAAGGCGAGGCCGAAAGGCGUAGUCGAUGGGAAACGGGUUAAUAUUCCCGUACUUGGUGUUACUGCGAAGGGGGGACGGAGAAGGCUAUGUUGGCCGGGCGACGGUUGUCCCGGUUUAAGCGUGUAGGUGUGUGUUCCAGGUAAAUCCGGUUCACUUUAACACUGAGGCGUGAUGACGAGGCACUACGGUGCUGAAGCAACAAAUGCCCUGCUUCCAGGAAAAGCCUCUAAGCAUCAGGUAACAUCAAAUCGUACCCCAAACCGACACAGGUGGUCAGGUAGAGAAUACCAAGGCGCUUGAGAGAACUCGGGUGAAGGAACUAGGCAAAAUGGUGCCGUAACUUCGGGAGAAGGCACGCUGACACGUAGGUGAAGUGAUUUACUCAUGGAGCUGAAGUCAGUCGAAGAUACCAGCUGGCUGCAACUGUUUAUUAAAAACACAGCACUGUGCAAACACGAAAGUGGACGUAUACGGUGUGACGCCUGCCCGGUGCCGGAAGGUUAAUUGAUGGGGUCAGCGCAAGCGAAGCUCCUGAUCGAAGCCCCGGUAAACGGCGGCCGUAACUAUAACGGUCCUAAGGUAGCGAAAUUCCUUGUCGGGUAAGUUCCGACCUGCACGAAUGGCGUAAUGAUGGCCAGGCUGUCUCCACCCGAGACUCAGUGAAAUUGAACUCGCUGUGAAGAUGCAGUGUACCCGCGGCAAGACGGAAAGACCCCGUGAACCUUUACUAUAGCUUGACACUGAACAUUGAGCCUUGAUGUGUAGGAUAGGUGGGAGGCUUUGAAGUGUGGACGCCAGUCUGCAUGGAGCCGGCCUUGAAAUACCACCCUUUAAUGUUUGAUGUUCUAACGUGGACCCGUGAUCCGGGUUGCGGACAGUGUCUGGUGGGUAGUUUGACUGGGGCGGUCUCCUCCUAAAGAGUAACGGAGGAGCACGAAGGUUGGCUAAUCCUGGUCGGACAUCAGGAGGUUAGUGCAAUGGCAUAAGCCAGCUUGACUGCGAGCGUGACGGCGCGAGCAGGUGCGAAAGCAGGUCAUAGUGAUCCGGUGGUUCUGAAUGGAAGGGCCAUCGCUCAACGGAUAAAAGGUACUCCGGGGAUAACAGGCUGAUACCGCCCAAGAGUUCAUAUCGACGGCGGUGUUUGGCACCUCGAUGUCGGCUCAUCACAUCCUGGGGCUGAAGUAGGUCCCAAGGGUAUGGCUGUUCGCCAUUUAAAGUGGUACGCGAGCUGGGUUUAGAACGUCGUGAGACAGUUCGGUCCCUAUCUGCCGUGGGCGCUGGAGAACUGAGGGGGGCUGCUCCUAGUACGAGAGGACCGGAGUGGACGCAUCACUGGUGUUCGGGUUGUCAUGCCAAUGGCACUGCCCGGUAGCUAAAUGCGGAAGAGAUAAGUGCUGAAAGCAUCUAAGCACGAAACUUGCCCCGAGAUGAGUUCUCCCUGAGACUUAGAGUCUCCUGAAGGAACGUUGAAGACGACGACGUUGAUAGGCCGGGUGUGUAAGCGCAGCGAUGCGUUGAGCUAACCGGUACUAAUGAACCGUGAGGCUUAACCUU
rnacentral:rRNA from 2 species